rnacentral:lncRNA from 1 species
AUACAUUGUUGAAAUUUGCAUUUACGUUGAUUUUGCCGGGGGCCUAAUUUCUAGAUUUCGCCUCAAGCCCCGAGAAUCACAGGACCGGCUCUGGCCCCAAGACAUAUCAAACUGUUGGAUUACAGGUAGGGAAUUGUACUGGAAUGCUAGACUCAACUUAUAUAGAAGAUACAAGAAAAUGAAGUUUAUUUAAAUUUAGUACAUAUCAAGGGCCGAUGAUACAGAUACAAUCAUUAUUAAUAAUAGAUGUCUACUCUACGUGCAUAUGUUUGCGUGUGUGUGUGCUCGUGUUUGUAAAUUAAAAUGUUAUCAUCGAUCGAUCAUCGCCCUUACAUAAGACGAUGACGUAUAUUCGAACGGAGACUUAGAGAUGAACCCUGGGAGCCGGGGUUCCAGCAUCACUUGGUGGGGGAAGUUUGGUUCCAAGGCAACCGCCCAUGCAGCCGACGUUAGUCAUGCCACAAUUUAGAAUGCAUGGUACUGAUUCCGGACCUUUGCUUAGACAUUCAGUGCAGCAGCCCACUAUAUCGUUCCCACAACUCACCAAGCAUUGACCAUCUGUCACCGCAGGGCAAUUCUUUUCUCGAUCCCCGCGCACGCACCCACAGCCAGAUAAUAACACUACCAACACAACCACCAAGAACUUACCUUGUAAACCCAUGUUAUUCACGAUGUCGAUAUGUGUCAAUUGUGACUUAACAUUAACAAAUCAAGGAUAGUG